rnacentral:lncRNA from 1 species
CCGACAUCUGUCAGUCAGCGCCUCCCUCCUCACUCCAUUGACCACUCCGCCGCGCCACCCGGCUCUCCACGCGUCCGUCCGUCUGUCCAUCCUUCCAUCCGUCCCUGCGUCCAUCGGAUUCUGGGCCCGUGAUCCUGGGAGAGAUUUUCUCCGACUACACCCCCGCCCAGGUGGUGGUGAAGGAGCUCCGAGCCAGCGCGGGGCCCCUGGAGCAACGCAAGUUCAUCUCGGAAGCACAGCCGUACAGGAGCCUGCAGCACCCCAAUGUCCUCCAGUGCCUGGGUCUGUGCGUGG